AUGUCUGCUAGUAUAUCACUUUCCAACCUCACACAUCUCGAAGUCCUUGAUAUGUCUGGUAACAACUUCUAUACUUCACUCAAGCAUGCAUGGUUUUGGAAUCUCAAAAGCCUUAAGGAGCUUUACCUCUCCUAUUCCAACUGGAUAGGGUCUAUUCCUAGUGAUUUGGCAAACAUGACGGCCCUUCAAGUCAUAGAUUUAAGUGCGAAUCAGCUCGUGGGUUUGAUACCAGAAAAAUUGGAAAAUUUGUGCAAUUUGACCAGAAUGAGGUUCAGUGGUAACAACAUAGGUUCGAGCAUAGGGGAGUUCAUGAGGCGAUUACCAAAGUGCUCAUGGAAUACAUUGCAAGAAUUUUCGAAAGAUAUGUCUUCUAACAACUUCCAUACUUCACUCAAGCAUGCAUGGUUUUGGAAUCUCAAAAGCCUUAAGGCGCUUCAACUCUCAUGGUCAGGUUGGGUAGGGUCCAUUCCUAGUGAUUUGGCAAACAUGACGUCCCUUCAAGUCAUAGACUUAAGUUUUAAUCAACUCGUGGGUUUGAUACCAAACAAAAUAGAAUUUUUGUGCAAUUUGACAAGAAUGAGGUUCGAUGGUAACAACAUAGAUUCCAACAUAAGGGAGUUCAUGGGGCGAUUGCCAAAGUGCUCAUGGACUACACUGCAGGAAUUGUCAGUGGUGGAUGCGAAUAUGACCGGCAAUCUGCCCAUUUGGAUAGGGAACAUGACCAAUCUUAGUGUUCUUGAUGCAUCUGGAAACAUAUUAACCGGCCCUCUGCCUGUAGGAGUUGGAGCACUGGGUAAUUUGAAAAUGUUGGACCUCAGCUACAAUAAGUUCAACGGUGUGAUGUUGAAAGAACAGUUUGCAAGCUUAGGAAAAUUAGAGUUUUUGGACCUCAGCCACAAUAACUUCAGCAGUGUGCUCUUGAAAGAACAUUUUGCAAGUUUGGGCAACUUAAAGCAUUUGGAUCUCAGCUACAACAAAUUCAGUGGUGUGCUCGUCAAGGAAUAUUUUGCUAGUUUAGGUAAUUUGGAGACCUUGGACAUUAGCUAUAAUAACUUCAAUGAUUUUCUCUUGAAAGAACACUUUGCAAGUUUAGGCAAAUUAGAGACUUUGGACCUCAGCCAUAAUAAAUUCAAUGGUGUGCUCACGGAGGAGCAUUUUGCAAGCCUAUUGAAUUUAGAUUAUCUAGACUUGUCGCACAACUCUUUGAGAUUAGUUAUCAAUCAAAAAUGGGUUCCUCCAUUUAGAUUGAGUGUGGCAUGUUUUGAUUCAUGCCAAUUGGGCCCCCGUUUUCCAGAAUGGCUUAGAUGGCAAUCCGACAUUGAUAUUCUUGUUCUCACAAAUGCAAAUCUAGAUGAUGUUAUUCCUGAUUGGUUUUGGGUGACAUUUUCCCGAACUUCAUUCUUGCACGCAUCAGAAAACAAAUUGCAUGGCUCAUUACCAGAAGAUCUACAAUACAUGUCAGCUGAGCACAUACAACUCGGGUCCAAUAAGUUUAUCGGACAAGUUGCACGGUUACCUAUAAAUAUAUCAAGACUAAACCUAUCUUCAAACUCUUUCUCUGGGUCCUUGCCAUCAGAUCUGAAUGCUCCACUACUUGGAGAGUUGUUGCUUGCUAAUAAUCAAUUUACAGGCACCAUUCCGUUGUCUAUAUGCCAGUUGACUAGACUUAAUAGGUUGGACCUAUCAGGAAACAAUUUUACAGGAGAUAUUAUGCAGUGUUGGAAGAAAUCUGACGCAAACUCUACGAAUCAAUUUGGUUUUGACAUGCUAAGCUUAGCCCUGCAUAACAACAGUCUCACUGGUGAAUUCCCUAAAUUUCUUCAAAGCUACAAUAAAUUUAGUGGUGUGCUCUUGAAAGAACAUUUUGCAAGUUUAGGUAAUUUAAAGUUUUUGGACCUCAGCCAUAAUAAAUUAAAUAGUGUGCUUGUGGAGGAGCAUUUUGCAGGCCUAUUGGAUUUAGAGUAUUUAGACUUGUCGUACAACCCUAUGAGAUCAGGUAUCAACCAAAAAUGGGUUCCUCCAUUUAGAUUGAAGGUUGCGAAAUUCCGAUCAUGCCAACUAGGGCCCAUUUUUCCAGAGUGGCUUAAAUGGCAAUCUGAAAUUGAUGUUCUUGUUCUCAGUGAUGCAAAUCUGGAUGAUGUUAUUCCUGAUUGGUUUUGGGUGACAUUUUCCCGAGCUUCAACCUUGCAAGCAUCAGGAAACAAAUUACGUGGCUCAUUACCAGCAAAUCUACAACACAUGUCAGCUGACUAUAUACAUCUCGGGUCCAAUAAGUUGACAGGUCAAGUUCCACGGUUGCCUAUAAAUAUAAGUCGACUGGACCUAUCUUCAAACUCUUUAUCUGGGUCAUUGCCGUCAGAGCUAAAUGGUCCAGCACUCGAAGACUUGAUGCUUGCAAAUAAUCAAUUAUCAGGCACCAUCCCGUCGUCUAUAUUCCAAUUGCCUUUUUUGUAUAGGUUGGACCUAUCAGGAAACCAUUUAGAAGGAGAUGUUAUGCAGUGUUGGGAGGAAUCUGAUGCAAACUCUACAAGUCAAUUUGGUUGGGGCUUGUUCAGCUUGGCCCUAAAUAACAACAAUCUGACUGGUCAAUUCCCUAAAUUUCUUGCAAGGUCAUCACAAUUGAUGUUCCUUGACCUUUCUUACAAUAGGUUAUUUGGAGGAUUGCCGGAAUGGUUGCCAGAAAAAAUCCCACAGUUGAAAAUAUUAAGAGUGAGAUCAAAUAUGUUCAGUGGUCAUAUUCCUAAGAGUCUGACUUCCCUUCACCGUCUUCAUUAUUUGGACAUAGCACAUAACAACAUAUCAGGAAGCAUACCGCGGUCUUUGUCAAACUUGAAGGCAAUGAAGGCAGUGGUGUCACAUGACACGAAGGAUUACUACUAUGAAGAGAGCAUCCCAGUAAUCAUGAAGGAUCAAAAGCGUGACUACACCUUCGCGAUCUACAAUCUAUUGGCAAUUCUUGAUUUGUCAAGUAAUAAUUUGGCAGGAGAGGUUCCAGAGGAGAUAACUCUACUCAUUGGAGUUACCAGCCUGAACUUGUCAAAUAAUCAGUUCAUAGGAACAAUCCCAAAUCAAGUUGGUGAUUUAAAGAGGUUGGAGUCACUCGACCUAUCCUACAAUGAGUUUUCUGGCGCAAUACCAUCAAGUUUGUCAGCUUUAACUUAUUUGAGCCACUUGAACUUGUCAUACAACAAUCUGUCUGGUGCAAUACCAUCCGGCCAACAGCUACAAGCUCUUGAUAACCAGAUGUAUAUCUACAUCGGUAACCCUGGUCUUUGUGGAGAUCCUGUUGGCAGGAGCUGCUCAACACAUGAUGCAGAGCAAAGUGGCCUCGAAGAUAUAGAUCAUAUGCCAUCUGUUUAUCUUGCCAUGAGCAUUGGAUUUGUGAUGGGUCUGUGGACAGUUUUUUGCACCAUGUUGAUGAAGAGAACAUGGAGGCGCCUUCUUCCAGUUUGUUGA
rnacentral:rRNA from 1 species